CGUAGUUGAUCAGUGCUCGAGACGACGCUGGCGGCGUGCCUAACACAUGCAAGUCGAGCGGAGUAAAUAGAGAGCUUGCUCUCUAUUUACUUAGCGGCGGACGGGUGAGUAACACGUGAGUAACCUGCCGGGAAAGAGUGGGAUAACACAGCGAAAGCUGUGCUAAUACCGCAUAUUGUAUAGAAGCCGCAUGGUCUUUUAUAUGAAAGAUUUAUCGCUUCCUGAUGGACUCGCGUCUGAUUAGAUAGUUGGUGAGGUAAUGGCUCACCAAGUCUACGAUCAGUAGCCGGACUGAGAGGUCGAUCGGCCACAUUGGGACUGAGACACGGCCCAGACUCCUACGGGAGGCAGCAGGUGGGGAAUAUUGCGCAAUGGGGAAACCCUGACGCAGCAACGCCGCGUGAAGGAUGAAGGUCUUCGGAUUGUAAACUUCUGUCUUUGGGGAAGAUAAUGACGGUACCCAAGGAGGAAGCCACGGCUAACUACGUG
rnacentral:rRNA from 1 species